AUUGAACGCUGGCGGCAUGCUUUACACAUGCAAGUCGAGCGGCAGCGCGGGGCAACCUGGCGGCGAGCGGCGAACGGGUGAGGAAUACAUCGGAACGUACCCGAGAGUGGGGGAUAACGCCGCGAAAGCGGCGCUAAUACCGCAUAUUCUCUAUGGAGGAAAGUGGGGGACCGCAAGGCCUCACGCUCACGGAGCGGGCGAUGUCCGAUUAGCUAGUUGGUGGGGUAAAGGCUUACCAGGGCGACGAUCGGUAGCUGGUCUGAGAGGAUGAUCAGCCAAACUGGGACUGAGACACGGCCCAGACUCCUACGGGAGGCAGCAGUGGGGAAUUUUGGGCAAUGGGCGAAAGCCUGACCCAGCAACGCCGCGUGAAGGAUGAAAUCCCUCGGGAUGUAAACUUCGCAAGAACGGGAAGAAUAAGCCGGUGUUAACACCACCGGCGAUGACGGUACUGUUUGUAAGCUCCGGCUAACUCCGUGCCAGCAGCCGCCGUAAAAC
rnacentral:rRNA from 1 species